AUGUUUCAGAAUUUUGCGUGGCGGUUAUGUACGGAGAGUCUCCCAACGUGGAAGAACAAACAAAGACGAGGGCUUGAAGUAUCAAGUCUGUGUCCGGUCUGUGCUGUGGAAACUGAAGAUAAUUUCCACCCUGUUCUUCGGUGCCCGCUGGCUCGUCAACUAUAUGAGGCCAUGUCGGAGGUGUGGAAAUUGCCAGCAAUCGAAACGAUUAUGUACACAGGCAAAGAAUGGUUAUUUCAGCUCCUGGAAAAACUGGACCAAACCACACGCAGCAUACUACUAUUUACGUUCUGGAGGUGUUGGUAUGUGCAUAAUGAGGUGGUGCAUCAGAAGCCUGCCCCACCAGUGAAUGCAUCAUGCAGAUUUCUUCAGAGCUACUUGGAGUCGCUCAUUGCAAUCAAAGUAAAUGGAGAUAUGGACCCCCGGAAGGGCAAGAUGAGCUGUUUACUCAUUGCUAAACCCCCUCGAGUUUGUACAACAGAGCCAGAAUUGAAGUGGGAUCCGCCCAAGCGAGGAUGGGCAAAACUGAACACUGAUGGGUCCUAUGACGCCGGUGGUUCUGCCGGAUCAGGUAUGAUCCUACGAGAUGAGGUGGGUGGUAUUAUCUUCUCUGCGUGUAGGCAGCUGUUUUCAUGCCGGGAUGCGCUGGAAUCGGAGCUUACUGCAUGUAUGGAAGGACUGUCGUUGUCAUUACAAAGAAGUGAAGCACCCAUUGCUAUGGAGAUGGACUCGCUCAUGGCUGUUUCCAUGAUCCAGGGGGAGGGAGUUGACAGAUCAGUAUAUGCCUCCAUAGUGAAUGAGAUCAAGUACCUUAGAACUUUGAGAGAGACGUGUAUUACUCAUGUAUCCCGUAGCCAAAAUAAAGCUAGUGAUUGUUUAGCAAAGUUUGCUAGAGUUAGUCAAAGAACUGUGACGUGGCUACGAUCGGGCCCUCCCAGUGUCCUAGAUUUGGUGCAAGAU
rnacentral:rRNA from 1 species